UCUCCGUAGGUGAACCUGCGGAGGGAUCAUUACAGAGUUCAUGCCCUACCGGGUAGAUCUCCCCCUCUAUGUUAUUAUUACUUUGUUGCUUUGGCGGGCCGUUAGGCUCCGGCCCGACUACCGGCCCCGGCUGGUAAGCGCCCACCAGAGGACCCAAAACCCUGAAUAUUAGUGUCGUCUGAGUACUAUAUAAUAGUUAAAACUUUCAACAACGGAUCUCUUGGUUCUG
rnacentral:misc_RNA from 1 species